rnacentral:rRNA from 1 species
GACGUAGGAUGCGAGCGUUGUUCGGAUUUAUUGGGCGUAAAGCGUACGUAGGCGGCUGCCUAAGUCUGGUGUUAAAGCUAGAGGCUCAACCUCUGUGAUGCACUGGAAACUGGGCGGCUUGAGAGCGGUAGGGGAAGGUGGAAUUCCGAGUGUAGCGGUGAAAUGCGUAGAUAUUCGGAAGAACACCGGUGGCGAAGGCGACCUUCUGGGCCGUUUCUGACGCUGAGGUACGAAAGCGUGGGGAGCAAACAGGAUUAGAUACCCUGGUAGUCCACGCUGUAAACGAUGGUCACUAGGUGUCGGGGGUAUCAACCCCCUCGGUGCCGUAGCUAACGCGUUAAGUGACCCGCCUGGGGAGUACGCACGCAAGUGUGAA